GCUCUGAUUCUUGUUCCAGACAAGAUAUGUAGGCAUAGGAUGCGACGUCCUAUCGAGCUCCCUUCUCCUAACCCCACCUGUGUCCCCGUGUGUGUGUGUGAUGUUUUAGCAACCUAUUCUUUAUUCUAGGACGUGGAUCCCGUCGAGUACGACGGACGUGAGGGGUGCUAAUACCUUCCCCUUGCGUAACCGACUCCCUUACCCUUUCUCUUU
rnacentral:lncRNA from 1 species